rnacentral:rRNA from 1 species
CCUACGGGUGGCAGCAGUAGGGAAUCUUCCACAAUGGACGAAAGUCUGAUGGAGCAACGCCGCGUGAGUGAUGAAGGUUUUCGGCUCGUAAAGCUCUGUUGGUAGGGAAGAACGAUAACGGUAGUAACUAACCUUUAUUUGACGGUAAUUACUUAGAAAGUAACGGCUAACUCCGUGCCAGCAGCCGCGGUAAUACGUAGGUGGCAAGCGUUAUCCGGAUUUAUUGGGCGUAAAGCGAGUGUAGGCGGUACAAUAAGUCUGAUGUGAAAGCCUUCGGCUCAACCGGAGAAUUGCAUCAGAAACUGGUGAACUGGAGUGCAGAAGAGGAGAGUGGAAUUCCAGGUGGAGCGGUGAAAUGCGUAGAUAUAUGGAAGAACACCAGUGGCGAAGGCGACUAUCUGGUCUGCAACUGACGCUGAGGAGCGAAAGCAUGGGUAGCAAACAGGAUUAGAUACCCGUGUAGUC